ensembl:lncRNA
AGAAUAACGUCACGUUCGUCUGUAGCUGUACCCCAACUAGCCACAACCACCUGACGAGGUUGCUAAAUUCCACUCCGUUGCAUGCUGCUGUUAGCUAGCAGGCAGUUUUAAGAAAUAACGCUGAACAGAUCUGUGAAGUCAUCUUUUUGUGUCUCGAUUUUCUUUAAACACAAUGCAGGCCAAGGGAUUUGCUGUAGUCCACCACCAGUAAAGGUGUACCUCUGACACCUGUUGCAUCACAAGGAUUAACACAUUUUUUGAAGAAGUCUUCAUACUUCUCCCAUUUGUGGACUGCCUCAAAGGAGUUUCUUUCUGGCAUACUUUGGAGUGUCUUUGGAACAAAGGGUGCUGAGUCUCUGUGUCAACCGGCUGAGCAUGCGCCCCAAAAGCAGGAUGGUCUUUCUGUCCUCUCUGCCAUGUUUGAUGGAAUUCUACAGAAAUGAACGUGGUACCUGCAGGCGUUUGGAAAUGGCUCCCAAGGAUGAACCAGACUUCUGGAGGUCUACACUUUUUUUUUCUUUGAUGAUUUCUUUUGAUUUUCCCAUGAUGUCAAGCAAAGAGGCACUGAGUUUGAAGACUACCAUGGUGGUUUCCAGCUUCAGCCAGACUGGGACAGACGGGGAAGGGGAAACAAGUGAACAGAACAGAUAUUCGCCAGGACAAUCGCAGAAUGGUCACCAUGGAAACAUACCACCUGUACCAGUUCAGGACAUGAGAUCGCCACGUUGACCAUCUUUAAGACGAAACAGUCUCUGGGUAUCAGUAUCUCAGGUGGGAUGGAGAAUGAGAUGUUUCCAGGAGGAGCUGCCUCUACCAGUGACGUUCUGAUGGCGUGGUAUGAGCUGGUUUCAGUGGACGGUGAGUCUCUGCAGCGUGUGACCCAUCAGCAUGCAGUGUUCAGCAACAAGGCCAAAGACCCUGUGGUGUUUGUCAAGAUCCUCAAGGGACCAGCCGACUUGCAUCAGAGGAGUCCACUGUCAGGCUUACACAAGUACUACACACAGUAUUUUUAUUGAACCUUUAUUGAACUAGGAAAGUCAUUUUAAGGACAAAUUAUUUUUUACAAUGACGGCCUACACCGGCCAAACCCGGACGACGCUGGGCCAAUUGUGCGCCGUCCUAUGGGGACUCGCAAUCACAACCAUAUGUGAUGCAUUCUGGAUUCGAACCAGACUGUAGUGACGCCUCUUGCACUGAGAUGUAGUGCCUUAGACUGCUGCGCCACUCGAGAGCUCAGUACUGCUGGCCUGUCUACAAGAAUGCUCUGAGGUGCAGUUCACCCAUCCACUGGAAAUGGAAAUGAUUUGAAAUGGUUCCCCUGACGCAGAUGGUUCGCUCCAGCUAGGCUGCAAUGGAAGGGAAUGGUCUAUUCCCAGAGGAGAGGAGCAUGGGUACCUCGGGACCAAUAAGCAUGGGUACCUUACCUGGGACCAAUAAGCUUGCUUCUCCUCUAGGGCAAAAAGGUUAAUGGUUGUUUGCAUAGCAAACAGGAAAUACUGCGAAAUUAAAAUGUUUUUUUUUUACAGAUGUGGGACUACUGUGCUUGCUUUGUGUAUAACAAUAAUGUGAUAAAUACUAUUUAUCAAAGAUGAACUUGA